rnacentral:lncRNA from 1 species
GUCAUAUCCUAAGGCUAAGGAUGUAAUUUUUUAAAAGAUUACUGAGAUCAACUACAGUUAUAAAAUUAAAUAUUGCUUUCUUUAUAUUCAACUAAAAAUAAAUAAAUUUGCUGAUUUGAAGUUUGACCCAAAAAAAAAAUAUGUGUGUAUCUGUUUACUGUACCCCUAUUUUUUUGGCCAUUUUUUAUUAAGCACUGUUAAAGUCGCAAUGUUGCUCCUGUAUACUCAAUGUAAAAAAAUAAAUUAAAUUAAAAAAAAUCCAUAUCUAACUUCUUUUCAGCAUGUGACAGUAAACACACAUACUUUUUUGUUUGACCUUACAUUCAUUUCCAUUAUCUCCCCUUGGUUUAACACAAUUGUGCAAAUUAUUAUCUCCCCUGACCAAAUCAUAAAUUCUUUGAAUUAUAAAUAAAAACAUAAUUUUUGGCAUAUGUGAGAAUCAAAAACAGUGCGUUGAAAUUUGUUUAAUAAAGGCAACAUAAAAAAGUUCUUAGUUUAUUUCAUUUUUGUUAGAAAAAUGUGAUACAAAGUUUACAGGAAAAUAUAAAAUAAAUGGUUUUUGAUUUAAAAAUAAAAGGUGGGAAUUUACUCUUACAACAGUAACAACCAUUAAAUGUUUUAUAACACUUACAUAACAACCUAAUCAAUAAUUUCUAACAAAUAAUAA